rnacentral:misc_RNA from 1 species
CAACCAUCAAGCCCCCGGCUUGUGUUGGGGACCUGCGGCACACCCGCAGGCCCUGAAAACCAGUGGCGGGCUCGCUGUCCACACCGAGCGUAGUAGCAUAUCUUUGUCUCGCUCAGGGCGUGCGGCGGGUUCCGGCCGUGAAACCCACCUUCUCGAAGGUACCCAAA